rnacentral:rRNA from 1 species
AGGGGGAUAACUACUGGAAACGGUGGCUAAUACCGCAUAAUGUCGCAAGACCAAAGAGGGGGACCUUCGGGCCUCUUGCCAUCAGAUGUGCCCAGAUGGGAUUAGCUUGUUGGUGAGGUAACGGCUCACCAAGGCGACGAUCCCUAGCUGGUCUGAGAGGAUGACCAGCCACACUGGAACUGAGACACGGUCCAGACUCCUACGGGAGGCAGCAGUGGGGAAUAUUGCACAAUGGGCGCAAGCCUGAUGCAGCCAUGCCGCGUGUAUGAAGAAGGCCUUCGGGUUGUAAAGUACUUUCAGCGGGGAGGAAGGUGUUGUGGUUAAUAACCGCAGCAAUUGACGUUACCCGCAGAAGAAGCACCGGCUAACUCCGUGCCAGCAGCCGCGGUAAUACGGAGGGUGCAAGCGUUAAUCGGAAUUACUGGGCGUAAAGCGCACGCAGGCGGUCUGUCAAGUCGGAUGUGAAAUCCCCGGGCUCAACCUGGGAACUGCAUUCGAAACUGGCAGGCUUGAGUCUUGUAGAGGGGGGUAGAAUUCCAGGUGUAGCGGUGAAAUGCGUAGAGAUCUGGAGGAAUAC